rnacentral:rRNA from 1 species
GAUGAACGCUGGCGGCGUGCUUAACACAUGCAAGUCGAACGGUGAACGAGGGAGCUUGCUCCCUCCGGAUCAGUGGCGAACGGGUGAGAAACACGUGAGCAAUCUGCCCUGGACUCUGGGAUAAGCGUUGGAAACGACGUCUAGUACCGGAUACGAGGCGUGGGGGCAUCCCCAACGCCUGGAAAGAACUUCGGUCCAGGAUGAGCUCGCGGCCUAUCAGCUAGUUGGUGAGGUAACGGCUCACCAAGGCGACGACGGGUAGCCGGCCUGAGAGGGUGACCGGCCACACUGGGACUGAGACACGGCCCAGACUCCUACGGGAGGCAGCAGUGGGGAAUAUUGCACAAUGGGCGCAAGCCUGAUGCAGCAACGCCGCGUGAGGGACGACGGCCUUCGGGUUGUAAACCUCUUUUAGCAGGGAAGAAGCGAAAGUGACGGUACCUGCAGAAAAAGCACCGGCUAACUACGUGCCAGCAGCCGCCGUAAAAC